rnacentral:rRNA from 1 species
GAUAAACGCUGGCGGCGUGCUUCAGGCAUGCAAGUCGAACGGGUGUCAGCCUUCGGGUUGGCACUAGUGGCGGACGGGUGAGUAACACGUAAGCAAUCUGCCCGGUAGUGGGGAAUAACUGGCCGAAAGGCUGGCUAAUACCGCAUGUGAUGGUUCGUCCCUGGAUGGAUCAUGAAAGGCGCAAGCCGCUACCGGAGGAGCUUGCGGUCGAUUAGCUAGUUGGGAGGUAAUGGCCCACCAAGGCAACGAUCGAUAGCUGGUCUGAGAGGACGGUCAGCCACACGGGGACUGAGAUACGGCCCCGACUCCUACGGGAGGCAGCAGCUAGGAAUCUUGGGAAAUGGGCGAAAGCCUGACGACGCAACGCCGCGUGGAGGAUGAAGACCU